rnacentral:rRNA from 1 species
UACGAAGGGUGCAAACGUUGCUCGGAAUUAUUGGGCGUAAAGCGCACGUAGGCGGUUUGUCGCGUCUGCUGUGAAAACGCGAGGCUCAACCUCGCGCCUGCAGUGGGUACGGGCAGACUAGAGUGUGGUAGGGGAGAUUGGAAUUCCUGGUGUAGCGGUGGAAUGCGCAGAUAUCAGGAGGAACACCGAUGGCGAAGGCAGAUCUCUGGGCCAUUACUGACGCUGAGGAGCGAAAGCGUGGGGAGCGAACAGG